GAUGAACGCUGGCGGCGUGCAUAACACAUUCAAGUCGAACGGUGAUUUCCUUCGGGGAUGAUCAGUGGCGGACGGGUGAGUAACGCGUGAGCAACCUGCCCUUGUGUGGGGGACAACAGCUGGAAACGGCUGCUAAUACCGCAUAACGUUACGGGAACGCAUGUUUCUGUAACCAAAGAUUUAUUGCGCAAGGAUGGGCUCGCGUUGGAUUAGAUAGUUGGUGAGGUAACGGCUCACCAAGUCGACGAUCCAUAGCCGGACUGAGAGGUUGAACGGCCACAUUGGAACUGAGAAACGGUCCAG
rnacentral:rRNA from 1 species